GGGCGGCUAGUGUAGUGGUUUAGCAUAUACCCGCUUUUUGAGCGGAUUCGACCGUAUGGGGAGACGUCCCCUAAUGGUCGAAUCCCCCAGUGAGGGUAAGACGGUGGUUCGAAUCCAUCGCUGUCCA